GACGAACGCUGGCGGCGUGCUUAACACAUGCAAGUCGAACGGUGAAGCGAGUGCUUGCACUCGGGGAUCAGUGGCGAACGGGUGAGUAACACGUGAGUAACCUGCCCAUCACUCUGGGAUAAGCACUGGAAACGGUGUCUAAUACUGGAUACGACCAACCCUUGCAUGGGGUGUUGGUGGAAAGAUUUAUCGGUGAUGGAUAGACUCGCGGCCUAUCAGCUUGUUGGCGGGUUAAUGGCACACCAAGGCGACGACGGGUAGCCGGCCUGAGAGGGUGACCGGCCACACUGGGACUGAGACACGGACCAGAAUCCUACGGGCGGCAGCAGUGGGGAAUAUUGCACAAUGGGCGAACGCCUGAUGCAGCGACGCCGCGUGAGGGAUGACGGCCUUCGGGUUGUAAACCUCUUUCAGCAGGGAAGAAGCGACAGUGACGGUACCUGCAGAAGAAGCACCGGCUAACUACGUG
rnacentral:rRNA from 1 species